GGAUUGUGGCUCAGUGGUAGAACACUUGCCUGGCACGUAUGAGACAUUGGGUUUGAUUCUCAGCACCA
rnacentral:tRNA from 1 species